GGGGUCGACUGGUUUUGACAGCGAGACUAAUGAGAUGGUAAGCACGUCGAGCGCUGGGAUAUAGCUCGUAAAUAUCAUAUUUCAUCUUUUUUAAACGGCGAGAAUAACUACGCCCUAGCUGCAUAAUCUGAAUUUCAGUAGGAUAAUGCCUCGGUCUACAAGGUAGACAAGCAGGAUACUCUUCAAAAGCCUUGGUUUAUGGCGUUUGGUUUUGAGUAUCGUAAAAGUAAACCUAGAAACCAAAGGGUCUUGAUUUGGUUUUGAAAUUAAUUGAGAAUAAGCUGUGCGUUGGUGGUUUUUGACCGGCAAGCAGACGAAAACCUAAACAGAAACUAAGCGUGUAGAAAGCUAUUUGAUUACUUGUUUGGACGAGGGUUCGAAUCCCUCCGACUCCACGA
rnacentral:tmRNA from 1 species